ACCAAGAACAAAACCAAAAAGAAAGUAAAAAAUAAAGAGCGUAAAGAAAAGUCCAAGGGAGGUGAACCUUGGAACACACACUACACUCUCUCUUUCUUAUUCAUUUUCCAAAACCAGCAACUCCCUAAGUAAUUGUUACCCCUAUGGCCCCACUUCUUCUUUGGUAUUCACUGAACCCAACCCUACUUUCAAACUCCCUUUCUCUCUCUAUUUCUCGCCGUGCCUUAGCUCUCUCUAUGUCAUCAGAAAGUGUAUUUAUAACAUAAUAAUAACAUGAAAAUGAAUUUUAAAAUGAAAACAAAUUCUUGUGUUUGUGAUGUGUUGUUGUUGCUCACUUGUUCUAGUUGUGCAUUUAAUAGUUACAACAAAUACAGUGAAACCGUCUAAAAGCCAUCAAUUCUUCAAACUCAUUGUGGAAACUGGAAACUACCUCAUUUCUUCCUUCAUUUUCCUCAUUAACUCAUUCCUUGUACACUUCAUCUCCUUUUUAAAUACCCUUCUCUCUUCUUUGUUUUUGUUUUGUUUUGUUUUUGGUGUUCUAAGCCUUUCUUAUUUCUUUUCUUCCCUUUCGCUUUACCAUUUCUUUAAAGGAACACAUCAAGAUUGUUUCUUUUCUUUGUGUUUUAAAGAAGAGGAGAUUGAUCUAGAGUUUUGAGAUGCAAAAGCUGCUCCAACGUUUCAGCUUGAAGUUGUCUUUCCAUUCUUGUAAACAUCACCUUCAAACUCUGCAACAUCACUGUUGGAUUAUUGGGGAUGACGUUUCAUGGUUCAGCAGCUGAGUUCUCAAGUUGAAGUCCAGAUAGAUAGCUAAAGAUACCCAGUAUUGAUAAGUUUUUGUAGCAUAUCGUCUCUCUCAUGGAGGAUUGAAUCUCCUUGUUCUUCUGAUUUUGGGUUAGAAUCCUGCUCACAUUUAUAGUAUUUGAGGCUGUAAGUUCCAACUUGAGAUCUAUUAAGAUACGCAAAGUUAUAGAGCUGAGAAGUUGCUUUAAGGAUAGAGAGUCCUUUUCACAUUGAAUCUUUAGUUCCCAUAGCUGCUUUCAAGCUUUUAGUUUUAGGAUUCCUAGUUCAAGUUUGGCACAUUUUAGAAUCUGGUUCGAGCUCAGAUCGUUUCAAAGGCAGAAAGAAUAUUUGUGAUCUUCAUCUCUUAAAUUUGAGACAUUUUAGAAUCUGAGUAGUGCUUCAAUCUUUGUAAUUCAAAGUGAUUCUCUUUGUUCACAUCUGGUCAUCUGGCUUGAGCUUCAAGCCUCAUUCACUGCAAUUGAUGUUGGUGUCAGCAAUUGAGUCUUCCUUUGAAGCUUUUGUUGCAAAUUAAGAGGACUUUGAUCUAAUCCAGGGUGUUGGUGACCGGCAAAACUGAGAAAAGUAAAUGAAUUCUGAGCAUUCGGAAUCAAAACUAAGACUAUCAAGAGGGAUACUAAACUUUCAAGAUCAUUGUACAAGCAGCAUUAUGAAUGGAAGAGUAAGAAAGAUUGCAACUCCUGUAACGGAAAAGAGAGAAAUGGAGUAUCAUAGGAGCUACUCACAAGGCACUUCAAGAAGAUUGUUACCAGCAAACUAUUACAGCUUGGAGUCAUUGCUGUUGCUGAUAUGUUUAACCGCAUCUUUGUUGAUCCUUCCAUUGAUACUUCCACCGUUGCCGCCGCCUCCAUUCAUGCUGCUUCUGCUGCCUAUAGGCAUUCUAGCAGUGCUCAUGGUCUUGGCUUUCAUGCCUUCAAAUGUAAGGGACAUGACUUAUACAUAUGUGUAAAUGGUUUUAAGAAUAUUUCACCCUUGUGAUCAUACAAGUUUUGUAAUUUGGAACAUGUUGAAACCAGAAAAAAAAAAACAAAAAGAAAGGGAUAAAAGUCUGUUCUUUCAUUUCUUAUGAUCAUCAGCCUGAAAAGUUGUGCAGGCUGUUUCUUGCUUCUUGUUUCUGGUUAAACAUUGCAGUCGCGCAUAUGCUGCAUAAUAUACUUAAUAAAUCUCUUACUUCGACA